rnacentral:rRNA from 1 species
GUAGCAUAAUCACUUGUCUCUUAAAUGGGGACUAGUAUGAAUGGCAUCACGAGGGUUUAACUGUCUCUUAUUCCCAAUCAGUGAAAUUGACCUUCCCGUGCAGAGGCGGGAAUGCUGAUACAAGACGAGAAGACCCUGUGGAGCUUAAGACACAUAACUCAACACAUACCCAUUUCUAACCUACUGGGACAAAAAAUGUAUAAAGUCCUGAGUUAUAGUCUUUGGUUGGGGUGACCUCGGAGUACAAAAUAACCUCCGAAUGAAAUUAACCCAGAUUAACAAAUCUAAGUGUAUUAAUACCAGUAAUUGACCCAAUUAUUUGAUCAACGGAACAAGUUACCCCAGGGAUAACAGCGCAAUCCUAUUUGAGAGCCCAUAUCGAAAAUUAGGGUUUACGACCUCGAUGUUGGAUCAGGACAUCCAAAUGGUGCAGCAGCUAUUAACGGUUCGUUUGUUCAACGAUUAAAGUCCUACGUGAUCUGAGUUCAGACCGGAGAAAUCCAGGUCGGUUUCUAUCUGUAUAUUAAUUUCUCCCAGUACGAAAGGACAAGAGAAAUGGGGCCAACGUCCCUAAUGAGCCCUAGAACUAAUAUAUGAAUUCAUCUUAAUAUUCUAAUUCAAUAAAUAAACCCCCAAGAACAGGGCU